CAGCAAGGAAGUUAGGAUAGCGCGGGAUGCGAACAAUCAUCAGGAAGAUGAUUUAAAAGGAAAAGGAUACACUCAGGAAGAGUGAAGGAACCCCAUCAGGAAGAUGGUCAAGGACACCGCUCAAGGAACAAGUGAAGCGAGCUGACUGGGAUGGUUAGCGUCAUUGGAUGAGAUGGACACCGCUAGGACGGCGACGAAUGGAUAUAGCUGAAGGAUUCAGCCACUAUUACGGAUGAUGCAUGGAGCAUUUUUAGUAGCCGGACUGCUGCGAGUAAGACUAUAGCCCCAAUACGCAAGUGUUGGGGCUUUUCUUAUAU
rfam:Vibrio shilonii AK1 1103207002007, whole genome shotgun sequence.